rnacentral:rRNA from 1 species
AUGGAUGCUGUAAUUCCAAAGUGCAAGGUUUGUCACAUUCCUGUGCCCUGUUGGGCAGUUCACUGUCAUCAAAAGGGGCCUCUCUUUUUUAUUUCUGCAGAAGAUGAACUUCUCAUCAAAGCUCCAGUAAUUUACCGCCUUGUUCACCUCAAAAGAAAAAAAAACACCACCUUGUAUGUUGUCAUACAUUUUUUUACACCUUUUAUUUUAAACAUCAUGUGUAUUGAUUUUCUUCUUGUAAAUAGUUACUUCCUGACAUGUGAUACAAGAAAGCUAAAUUCUGUACCCGCAAAAAAUAAAGCUAAAUUCUACACAGAAAAAGGUUUAUUUUAG